rnacentral:misc_RNA from 1 species
GUGAUUAUGAAAGGUUGUCUUCUGUGCUGGCUGCGGCAGGUGCACGUUGGUGACUUUCAUCCAACACCCUUGUGAACCUUUGGCCUCUUGCUGGCUUCGGCUGGCUGAGGAUUUACACAAACUUGCAUGUAUUGAAGACCCUUCAUGUGCGCAAGCACUAAUAUA